rnacentral:rRNA from 1 species
AGAACGAACGCUGGCGGCAUGCCUAACACAUGCAAGUCGAACGCGUGUAGCGAUACACGAGUGGCGGACGGGUGAGUAACGCGUGGGAACCUGCCCUGGAGUGUGGGAUAACCGAGGGAAACUUCGGCUAAUACCGCAUACGACCUGAGGGUGAAAGAUUUAUCGCUCUAGGAGGGGCCCGCGUCGGAUUAGCUAGUUGGUGGGGUAAAGGCCUACCAAGGCAGUGAUCCGUAGCUGGUCUGAGAGGAUGAUCAGCCACACUGGGACUGAGACACGGCCCAGACUCCUACGGGAGGCAGCAGUGGGGAAUAUUGGACAAUGGGGGCAACCCUGAUCCAGCAAUGCCGCGUGAGUGAUGAAGGCCUUAGGGUUGUAAAGCUCUUUCGCGCGCGACGAUGAUGACGGUAGCGCGAGAAGAGCCCGGCUAACUCGCGCCAGCAGCCGC